ensembl:lncRNA
AUGUUGGCGACGCGCUGCCUCCUCCUGUGGGCUGCGGUCACCGCGCGACUCGCCGUGACAGGCUGGGGCAGCAGCAUCAAGCGGGACGGAGCGGAACGGGGACGCGAACAGAACGCGUAUGCGGAGGAGCUCACGCAGCCUCAGCGGCUGCUGCAGCGGACUGACGCGGAGGAGGAGCUGCCGCACGGACACUUGGGUACUCUAGUAAAGAUUGAUGCUGAUGGAGCGCAUCCCAUUCACUUGGCUCAGAUUUCAUUCCAGGUGACGGCGUUUGGAAUCCCAUUUGUUCUAGACCUGGAGCUCAAUCAGUAUGUUCAAAAUCCCACUUACUAAAAAAAAAAAAAGAUAGAAAAAAAAAACACUGUAUUAUUAACUUUGAAACAAUUCUCACUCAGAAAUAGCUAGAAAAUGUAACAAAUAAUUACAAAGAAAUGGCAAGUAACAGUUUGAUUUAAACAUUACAUUUUAAAGAAAGAAUAAAAUUGUAUUUUCUUGUAAAACA